rnacentral:lncRNA from 1 species
GGGGAUAAUAACUUUGCCUAUGUGGCUCUUUCUUUCAAGGACAUAUAAGGCCUUUGCAUGUUGGGAUUUAAGUGACUGCUACAGUACGUGGACAUCAGGCCAGACAGGAUACUUUGUGUUUCACAGAUGGGAAACCUGGGGCCAAAGCAGUAUACCUCAUAGAAAUCAGUAAGCAGUUCAGUUUGGGAGAGAGGAUGCCUCCCCUGAGUAUUUUCAUUCCAUAGAAUCUCUUCUGUGCAUCUUCUCAUGGAUCAAAACACUUUCUUCUUUCCGUGUCCCUGAGGGGGCCCACGGCUGUGCGAGAAGAUGAACAAUACAGGACAGAAGGGCUGGGAAAGGAGAGAGAGCCAGGCUGUCCUGCCUACUGUCAUGGGUGUUUCCUGGGUCUCUAGAUGAAUCAGUCUCCAUAACUGGGUUCUAGGCGGUGCUGGUCCUGUAAUGAGAUCCUACCCCAUCGCUGUCUCUGUUCCCUGAUUGUGUCUCUGUGGAGCCGGCCUAGAGAGGGGGGCUAUGGUGAGAUGGGGGGAAGAGGCACUUUUCAUGCUGUAGGAACAGCUUUGAGUUGCUUAUCAGGUUGUUUGUGGUCCUGUGAUGAGCAGGUUCACACCUCUGCAGGCACGAAAGGGUUAAGCGCUGGCACUGGGUGAGGGGCUGCAGUUACGAAGAAGGUGCAGUGAAAGGUAAUGCUGACAGAGUUGCCGGGAAGGAAGAGAAAUGGAGAAGGGUGUCGGAGAGACAGGAGGGGACCGGGUGGGAGUCAUGGGCUAGCCCUCACGGAGGCAGGGGCAGUUAGACGAUGCUCUUGAAGACGGAUAACACUUCUUUUUUCGGUUUAUAGUUCUGCACCUAGAGAUAUCUGAAGUUCUUCUUCUGGUGCAUUUCCUUACAUUUAGCUUCUUUUACAGACAUAAUACUACGAUUUUCUGUGUGAGCGGUUGUUGUUCAGACACCCGAUUUCAGUGGCCACUUAAUAUUCUAUUCUGUGGCUAGUCCGCCAUUUCCUUGAAUACAACUCAACAAGAACGGCAUGGAGGGUACUUAACUCCCAAGUCUGAGUGCUGCUAGGUCAGAGCUGGGGUUUCCUCAGGCCACGUUGCUCAGUGUGGGUCCGUGGCAGUGGGGUUGAGGUCUUCUGUUCUGGGGUCUUCUCCAGCCCUGUGGUGCAGUGGGCAGCCCGGCACCUUAGUGUCCCUAGGUCACCAGCUCACUUUCUUUGACUCGCUGUAAGAGUUGGGCGCUUUUUUUCUGAGCCCCUGCUGAACUUCCAGUGUCUCUGGACCAGUGGGUCCCCAGCAGUGUUUGCAUGGGAAAUAAAAAGGUGAGAGGGUACCGCUGUCCUGGUUCUGUACGGCCUGUUAUGUAGGUAAGAAAAGUAGUUGCUUAUAUAAGUUAAGAAACGGAAAUGGAAUGUUAUCUGUGCAGCUGUCUGUCUUUCCCACUGGGCUGUAACCAUCCUUACUGCAUGACCUUGGGCUAGUUAAUCAACAUACUUACUCAACCCUCAUUUUCCAUAAAAUGGAGAUAAAAAUAGUGUCUACUUCACAGUAGGGUUUUGGGGAUUAAAUGAGAUAAAUAAGAUCCUGUGCGUGAGUGCUUAACGCAGAGGCUGGCAUCUAGUAAGUGCCCAAGAAAUGGUGACAAUUUUUGUCAUUUUUGUUAUCAUUCUGACCUUUUCUACAGCAGAGAUUGUAUAGUAUUUAUCUUUGUCGGAAAAAUUCAAUUAAGUGUUUGCUAAAUUGAACUAACUGUUCUGAGU